GCCUGGUUGGCUCAGUGGGUAGAGCGUGUGACUCUUGAUCUCGGGGUCAUGAGUUCAAGCCCCACAUUGGGUG
rnacentral:tRNA from 1 species